rnacentral:rRNA from 1 species
UUAGUGGCGGACGGGUGAGUAACGCGUGAGCAACCUGCCUUUCGGAGGGGGACAACAGUUGGAAACGACUGCUAAUACCGCAUAACAUAUACGGGUCACAUGGUCUGUAUAUCAAAGAUUCAUCGCCGAAAGAUGGGCUCGCGUCUGAUUAGCUAGUUGGUAAGGUAACGGCUUACCAAGGCGACGAUCAGUAGCCGGACUGAGAGGUUGAACGGCCACAUUGGGACUGAGAUACGGCCCAGACUCCUACGGGAGGCAGCAGUGGGGAAUAUUGGGCAAUGGGGGAAACCCUGACCCAGCAACGCCGCGUGAUUGAAGAAGGCCUUCGGGUUGUAAAGAUCUUUAAUUCGGGACGAAAAAAAUGACGGUACCGAAAGAAUAAGCUCCGGCUAACUACGUGCCAGCAGCCGCGGUAAUACGUAGGGAGCAAGCGUUAUCCGGAUUUACUGGGUGUAAAGGGCGCGCAGGCGGGCUUGCAAGUUGGGAGUGAAAUCCCGGGGCUCAACCCCGGAACUGCUUUCAAAACUGUGAGUCUUGAGUGAUGGAGAGGCAGGCGGAAUUCCCAGUGUAGCGGUGAAAUGCGUAGAUAUUGGGAGGGAACACCAGUGGCGAAGGCGGCCUGCUGGACAUUAACUGACGCUGAGGCGCGAAAGCGUGGGGAGCAAACAGGAUUAGAUACCCUGGUAGUCCACGCCGUAAACGAUGGAUACUAGGUGUGGGGGGUAUUGACCCCCUCCGUGCCGCAGUUAACACAAUAAGUAUCCCACCUGGGGAGUACGGCCGCAAGGUUGAA